rnacentral:lncRNA from 1 species
UCUUGAGGGCGACAUCACAUGCGUAGCAAAAGAACAGUCCAUGCAGAUCUCUAUGAGAUAGUAAAUGAGGUCAAGCAUCCUCAUCUCUAACAUAAAUUCACACGGUAUGGUUACGACGAUACUUUUCAAAACUCCAGGCUAAAUGGAGAGGGGGUGGAGGUAGUUGGUCUCCUGCUCAUGCUCGUGUGGGGACACUAAA